rnacentral:lncRNA from 11 species
CUUUGUUUAAAAAAGAAAUGUGAAUGCUUCCAACUGGUGGUCUGUGAUAUGAAAUGCACUCUCUUCCCAUUUACUCUUUCAUUACCAGACAACAGACCAUGAGACAGAAGCACAGAGAUGCAACAUAAGCCAACACUAGAAGCUAAUGCUCAUAUAUCUGACUUUCAACUCUUCCUAUAACCAUCCAGAAAAGCUGCUUCCAUUAUUUUUCCAUGCUCUUGCUAACCUUAAAUAUCCCUCCAGUUGCCAGCAGUGAAGAUGGUGAUCAAGCACCUGAUCUUGAUAUUAAAAUUUAUGGUAAUUUUGCCUCCUUCGAAAUACUGCCCUGAACAUCUCCUGUGCUCACGUUAUCUCUUCAGAAUUGCAACAGACAUCUGGACUGCGCAACUGGAAGUUGAUGGCUCCCACCAGAUACACACAAAGAGAGCAGUGCCUCAGCAGAAGUAAGUCUGCUUUUUGCUGCACUAAUGCAGUUCAGCAAAA